UUGCUCUGUAUGUCCGUCACACUAUUUUACUUUUGACAUGAAUAAGUUAUCGUUAUUGAUCCACGAUAGUUGUUGUAAGGGAACCCGAUAUUUUUUAAAUCGAUUUCCUUUUUCAAAAAACCGACUGGUGAGGCAACAAAGAUUUUUCCCAACUGCCAUGACAAUUCUGAACACAACAGCACUGAGAUCUGUACAGUUUAAGAGAGAAAUCUGGAGGUUUGAUGCUCCACACCUCACUGUGGCUCGCAGUCUCGGGGAGUUUGAACCAUUGGCUCCUUGCAUAAGAGAGAUGCUGACUUGCAGAGAAUUCAGUUUUUUCUUCAAAGCACACUUGGGUCUUCGGAUGCAAUGAACUGUAUGGAGCCAUGAUUGUCAAUUGAAAAAGUUUGGUCUGACUCUGAUACAUCAUCCUGGAGUGUACUACAUUGUCUGGGUAUGUGAUGGGAAUCUGGAGGCUGCUUGUCGGUGGUAAAAGCAGGAAUAGCUUGUGUCAUGACCCAGCUGAUCUCAGGUCGCACUUUUCCUCUAACUAAACACAAAGCAGCUCCUUCUCGCGGGUACAAAACAAACCCACACUCAGUAGUUCUUACGUGUGAUUUGCUCUUCACAGGUGGAAAGUACAAUUAUGUACAAAGAUCUUUUUUUUAAUACUGCACAAUUCUGAGAUACUGUUACUUGUCACUAGUUUCUUUCACUCUUUGCCCCUAGGAAUAACAUACUUGUCUGGGGAAAUUUGAACUCGAAUCCUAAAAAUAUAGAGCUUCAACUUUCUCCAUCAUGCCACCCGCAUGAUUUACGUGAGCCUUUAAUGGCACUUUUUCCACCCUGUUUGAUGCCAUAAUAUGAUGCUUGCGUUGGCCAAGACACAAACUGAGGAAUGAGCAGCAUGUAGUUGUCCAAAUCUUCUCCACAGGGACUCAACAAAGGUAGUUACUUAGCCUAUGGCCAUACAGAGCCAAUUUAAACCUGUGCUUAAUAAAUCAUUUCAACUAAUUUCUAUUUAUUUCUACUACAGAUGAUGGAGCGAGAAACAACAGUGAGGAAGACAAAAAGGUAACAUUGGGGAAGUGUGUACAUGUUUAGAUCUCUUUGUAGUUUUGGACCUGGGUUUAGGGCUCAUCGAUCUGUACUUAAAUAAUUUUCUUGUGCUUUUCUGCUCAUUAUGCACUUGAGGUCUUUAAAGUUGUACAAUCAGUUUUCCUGUCAGUAGUGGAGGUUAGGGUAAUUGCAUAGAGUUUGCAUUUCCUGUAUCAUUUAGCUGAUAUAACAUUUCCCAGGGGACACUGCAGUGCUGCCAUUACUCCCACGACGCAUAACUGAUUAUAAUGAGAGAAAAUUAUACAAAAUGAGCUCAUGUGUCGAUUAUAGUGUAGAAUCAAACAAGCAAAUUGUCCUCAUUUAUUAACCACUUUUCUUUUCUCCCUAGAUGAUUCUUGAAAGCUACAAACUCAUACAUGUCAUGUACUGUUUAUAUGAUCACUUGACAUAGAUGUUUUCCAUUCGGAAGAUUUAAUUGCCGGUUGUGUAAGAGGAGGCAUGAGCAGACGGGAAGAAAUUGGGUUUCUACCUGAUGGCUAUUCCAGGCUCUGAGCAGGUUCAUGGUCCAGGAGAUUUAUGAGGGAGGGGUUAUAUCCCUCCUCGUGUGGGAGUCCAACAGACGAGCGUUUCACCAAGACAUUCAGGCACCUCCACGUUGUGCUGAGAGAAGACUUUUCUACGACCUGCACAGCUGUCAGCUCAACAUUGGUUCUCUGUAGACUUGCAUGAAUGCCUGUCCGAAGGGUUAGUCAUCGUUAAUCACACAUUAUUAUCUAACUGACUUUAUUGAAACUCAACUGUUUACUUAAAUGGUCCAAUAUAUUUCCAAAAUAUUCCUCAUGCUUAUUAUUGGCAGAAUCACGAGUCUAGGUUUUAAAGAAAGGCUUCACUUUAGCAGUAUGUUGUUUCCACUUUAGAGCUAGUUUCCCAGUUUGAACAAGCUAAAUAUCUAACUAUCUUGAUAAAUUAUUAAUAAUUUUAGUCUCUUAUAGGCAAAAAUAAUGCUGCUAUUAACCGGCCUAUGAGUAAUAAAUAUAUUCCCCCUCCCAUCUUUGGUUUUGGGAAUCUUUAGUGGGAAUACUUGUAUUAUUGUCAUUCAUUUCAAAGGCAAAAUAAGUAAUCACUUAAUCAAAAGUAAUAAUAAACAAAUGUUUAUUAGUAGAGCCUAAAUUGUUCCAAUGUGAAACAUAUUCGAGACAACAUCUGGAUAGCAGUUUAUAUUUGAGUGUAUUCUUGCAGUGAUUUGAAAACUGCAUCUCAUCAAUCCUUUUAGCUUUCAUAUCAGCAUAUACAGUACCUGGCCCAAAUAACACAUGCUAUCCCCGGCAUAUCUUAUUCCUUGCUUAUUCUGCUGCUCUUAUUUAAUAGCAUCCAACAGGAAGAUCAGCUCCUCUGCUUCUGCCAGAGAAACUCUAUAUGUGAGUAGCCUUGAUGAAUAAAACCGUGAGAAUGGAAAUGAGCUGUUUGGAAAGAACCCGACUGUGAUAUCUGGCUUAUCCAAAAUCCCAAUUGUUGGCUGAAGCUGUUUCCCUGAAAAAUGUAGCAUGUGGCCCAUCUGUUUAAGUGGUUUGGAGUGUUGACUUUUAAAAUAUAACUCCAUGAUUGGACCAUCAGUCUGCUUUCCCCCUCUUUAGAAAUUGAGUAAACAUUACAACAUGCAGAUAGUGUUACAGGCUUACUGUGGUUGACGCAGAUCAUUUAUUUUAUUUAAGCUUUGAAUAAAAAGUGCCUAGUGAUGAGAGUAUGGAAAUAGUUUGUAAUGUUUAAACUGCAAACAAAUAACCAACUAAUAUUAUGUACAUUGAGGAUGCUUUGCCAUGGUUUGUCUCUUUUGAUUAUAUAUUUGAGCUGUGCCGCUAAGUAGUUUUUCUGUACUUGCAUUAUGACCUUUAACCUUUUUUCAAUGAACAUCCUGCUCUUAUCAGUCAUGAUUAAGCUUAAACGUCAAAUCAAAGCGUUUUACAGGGACUGAGAUACUUUUUUGAGUUGCUAAGGAUUAUUGUACUGCAUAAUAUCGUAUAAGCAUAUCAAUUAGAAUCAAAGUUUAUUUAUAUAGCCCGAUAUCACAAAACACGUUUGUCUCAGUGGGAUUUACAGAAUAACAAACAUAGACUGUGUAAAAUAUAGUUAAAGUUACAAGACAAUUAUAAAAAACAUAAUCAAACGUCAAAUACAAAUAAAAUAGAUACAUAACGAAAUAAAAUACAACCAACGACAGUAAAAACACAAAAAUAAAAUACCUUAAAAUGUAUGUCUCACAAUAGGCUUGAUUAAAAAGCCCAUUACCUGUUUGUAUCAUUGAAAGUGUCAAACAAAUGCAAUGUUGUCAAAAGUACAAUAUAUCCCUGAUAAAUAAACUGAAGUAUA